UUCUCAGGUACAGAAAGCCACAGCCAGGAAGAUGCUCCCAAUAGAAGAGUGCAAACAUCUCUGCGGUGGCCAAUAUGGAUGACAGUUUUUGUGAGCACAUACCAAUAUGUGUAUAUAAUAGGUUCUGCAAUAGGGGUACCAAGACCAAGGAUAUAUACGAUUUAAAACAUGAUAGUUCUUGGCAAGUUGUCUCCCACCAAGGAAACACAGCUGUUAAAGAGAAGUCGCAGCAAAGCCGUCAUCAGCACUUGAGGGUCCUGCAGAACUUUGGGAAGUCAAUUUACAGAAAGGAUGACUUGAGCUGGCAAUGCCUCGCACAGCAACAUGGACCUACAAAUAAGGACCCAGGAGCAAGAAAUGGAUCGUUCAUCCCAAACCAGGCGUUACAGUGAUUAGAUCACUGUAUCCACAUGGAAAAGCAUCAGAUGGGAUCAGACCCGUUCCUACAGCCUGAAACUACACAGUCCAAAUCUUGAGUGUAUAGAUGUAGUCAAGGUUUAGUAGAUAUUUCCAUAAUCUGAAAGUUCCCAGUGAAAGAUCUUCUCCUUUAUUGCUAAACAUUAACUCUUGGGUGGAAGAGUAGACAAAUACACAGU
rnacentral:lncRNA from 1 species